CCCCCCUCCCCUCCCCCGGAGGCGUCUGGGUGUGCGGACCGCGCGCGCGCGCGAGUCUCGGAGGCGCACCUGUGAGGUGUCCCCCCCCCCCGCCCCCGGGGAGAGGGCCGGUGGGCGCGCGCGCGCGCGGAGUCGCACUCGGGAGGGAGUUGGACCCGGCCGACGCCCCGUACCGUCCCGGCCCCGAGGCCGCCCAGCGUCCCGCCGAGGUGAUGAGGAACCCCCCGCAGCCCCAGCAAGCCUGGCUGCUGCCGCCGGACGUCUCCAUUGUCUGACCACCGCCUGGGCUCCCCCGGCUCCCCGCAGACCUGCAAGUCCAAGAGACGUCCCUCUGGAAGAUGAGCGAGCUGCCUCUUCAGGAUCCAAAAAAAGAAAACCAGCGUGCUACUGUAUAGAGUUCCCAGGCUGGCUGUCCUUGGAGCAAGGAACCUUCAUGCUGUCAAGAGCUGCCAUCUGAUGGGCAGGAGGCAGAGCGACAUUCUGACUCUUCUGAGGGUGCUACCGGGACUCACCACCAGCUGGCACCUUCUGCCCUGGACAGACAGAUCGCACUACACAGGCUUUGUUUUAUGAGUGAGAAAUCGAAGAGUACUGCACAUCGGAGAGACUCCAGGGGCUCCGAACAAAGCUUGCUCAUUCCUGCCCCUGGAAUGUUGACCACAGGGGGUCUAAAGGAAAGAAAGCUCUGUGCUGGUGAGCUAUGGGAUUCUUAUGAAAGCCAGUGCGACUGUGUAAUCAGUAAGAACUCUGAGUGAGGAACACUAUGCAGGAAGAAGCCUUCCACAGAAAGACAGGCAGGGAGAAGCUGGGGCUGACAGUAAGCUUGCCCAGUAGAGCGAGCCUGAGAUAGACUGCCAAGAUGGCAAAAUAAGAGGCUUUAUGAAGUAGCAGUCCUGGAACUCAUAGUUGUAAGGACACUUUCUUCUCUAAGUCACAAUACCAAAUAGGAAAAAUGAUCUACAAGUGCCCCAUGUGCAGGGAAUUUUUCUCUGAGAGAGCAGAUCUUUUUAUGCAUCAGAAAAUCCACACAGCAGAGAAACCCCAUAAAUGUGACAAGUGUGAUAAGGGUUUCUUUCACAUAUCAGAACUUCAUAUUCAUUGGCGAGACCACACAGGAGAGAA